rnacentral:rRNA from 1 species
AUUGAACGCUGGCGGCAGGCCUAACACAUGCAAGUCGAGCGGAUGAAGGGAGCUUGCUCCUGGAUUCAGCGGCGGACGGGUGAGUAAUGCCUAGGAAUCUGCCUGGUAGUGGGGGAUAACGUCCGGAAACGGGCGCUAAUACCGCAUACGUCCUGAGGGAGAAAGUGGGGGAUCUUCGGACCUCACGCUAUCAGAUGAGCCUAGGUCGGAUUAGCUAGUUGGUGGGGUAAAGGCCUACCAAGGCGACGAUCCGUAACUGGUCUGAGAGGGUGAUCAGUCACACUGGGACAGAGACACGCUCCCCAGACUCCCAGGGGAGGCCGGAGUGGGAAAUUGUGGACUGGGGGCAAACGUCAGAUACAGACGUGGCGCGUGUGAAGAAGGUCUUCGGAUUGUAAAGCACUUUAAGUUGGGAGGAAGGGCAGUAAGUUAAUACCUUGCUGUUUUGACGUUACCAACAGAAUAAGCACCGGCUAACUUCGUG